rnacentral:lncRNA from 1 species
GUUGUGAACUGUACUAUAGAUAUGGAAUGUAUCUUGCUCCUUUUACUGCAAUAUUAACAACAGCAAGACAUAUCGAACCACUCGCUUCGCUCGAUUUCCAAAAAAAAGAUGAAAAAAAUGACAUAAAAAAUGAUGAAUGAAAAUCCUGAACAAAUAGAAAACAAAGAAGAAAAAAAGAAGUAUUUAAAAAACCCAAACCAAAAGACCCAA